CCCGCUGAACUUAAGCAUAUUAUUAAGCGGAGGAAAAGAAACUAACAAGGAUGCCCUCAGUAACGGCGAGUGAAGCGGGAAAAGCUCAACCUGAAAAUCUGGCUCCUUAGCGGGAGUCCGAAUUGUGGGCUAGAGAUGUAUGAUCAGUGUGUGACCUGGGCAUAAAUCUUUUGAAACAAGGUAUCAGAGAGGGUGAGAAUCCCGUCUUUGACCUGGAGUUCGCCGCGUACGAUCUACAUUCAUAGAGUCGAGUUGCUUGGGACUGCAGCUCUAAGUUAGGUGGUAAGUUUCAUCUAAAGCUAAAUAUCAAUGAGAGACCGAUAGCGAACAAGUACCGUGAGGGAAAGAUGAAAAGAACUUUGAAAAGAGAGUUAAAAAGUACCUGAAACUGCUAAGAGGUAAGCGCUGGAAACCAGUCGAUGGCUAGGAUGUAUUUGAACUUCUGCUUCCCAAUUGUGUUAGACUAGGAGACCCCAAAGGCUUCCUUAACAUAUACAAGAGGGUGCGGUUGUGCACUGUACUCUUGGCCGAGUCAGGAUCAGUUUGAUUCGUGGGAGAAAGCUAUGACAACGGUAGGUUCGCGGGGGCAACUCUAAGGACUGUCUAGUGUUGUAGUGCUACCAUGGGUUAGACUGAGGUACAAGCCGAAUUGCGCACCUUCGGGUUUGUAGGUCUUUCUUCCCUAGUCGUUUAGAAUGCUUGGACAACAAAGUUGUGCGGUGUUCGAAAGCUUCUACUGGUUGAUUUGACUUAGCAGCUGCAGUCGAGAUUGUCUGACGAAAUGGUUUUCAUCGACCCGUCUUGAAACACGG
rnacentral:rRNA from 1 species